GUGCCUAAAGAAGAGGAAGUGGAAAUUAUGACAGAAUAUCUACGUUAUCGAAAUAAUGACAGGGGAUUGCGGCCCUAAAAAAGAAGACAAUUUCUUUGGUGUUAUGAUCGAUUCAAUAACUGAGGACCAGUUGAGAAAGGCCUUGCAGCU